rnacentral:rRNA from 1 species
ACGUAGGGUGCGAGCGUUAAUCGGAAUUACUGGGCGUAAAGCGUGCGCAGGCGGUUAUAUAAGACAGAUGUGAAAUCCCCGGGCUCAACCUGGGAACUGCAUUUGUGACUGUAUAGCUAGAGUGCGGCAGAGGGGGAUGGAAUUCCGCGUGUAGCAGUGAAAUGCGUAGAUAUGCGGAGGAACACCGAUGGCGAAGGCAGCCCUCUGGACCUGUACUGACGCUCAUGCACGAAAGCGUGGGGAGCAAACAGG